UAGAAGCAAAAUGGAUUUUCUUCUCAUAAUUUUCUCUCCGGAGAAAACAAUUAAUUCCAUCUUCUUCUAUUUUUGACAGCCUGAUUCACACAUGUAGCAAGCAAAUUGUUCUACCGUAUCUCAUGAAAAGGUUCAAGUCAUGAUAGUUCUGAAGACAAGGAGUACGGUGUUGCAGAUAGAACAAGAACAAAGACAGACGAAUCUUGAUACUUUCAGAGUGAAAUAGAGCGAAAAGAUGCUAUAAGAAAUCAGAAUAAGAGUUAUGGAACAAGGAAGAAGAUGAUCAAGAGAUUGGAGCAAAUACAGUGUUCAAAAAAGAGAGAGAAAAAGCUAAGAAGAUCAGGAAUAGUCUUACUAAACAUGGUCAUAGUUAUCACCACGAUCAUGAUCAUGAAGAGGAAUAUGAUGAGCAAAAACCAAAAUGGCACAGUGAGCCAGUGUAUACACAAGCGGUGUAGCAGGUCAACCUGAGACACCGAGUCCUCCCUGAGAAACUAAUUUUUGGCAAUGGACAAAUUUUUUUCAGUUUGUGUCUUCGGAUUAUACCAAACCCGUUGAACUGGAGCCAUUACGAGAUAUCUUUCAUGGACACAAGAUAACGGAUACUUCAUAUUUGAUGAUAUGCUACCUUUCAUUGUUCUGUAACCAGGAAGCUCGUAUCCAGGUGUUCAAGUUUGAAAGAAACUUGAGUAUCCCUAGCUAUCAUGUUCUGCUUCAUCAAUGUCGUAGGGAUGCCAGCUUAAAAUUCAUGGAUGAGUGGAAGAAAAGCACGAAUCUGGUCAGAGAACACGAAUCUGUUGUAUUGUUAUUUUUAUAGCAAGAAGGUUAAGUUCCAACCCAUAUAAAGGGAAAUAGCUGAUGAUGUUACAAAGAUAGAGAAUCUAAAGAUUACAGAAACGAUGGAGAGCUGAGAAAAACAAAACGGUGAUGUCAGGUUUGAAGUACAA